GGGAAUGUGGCUUAAUGGAAGAGUGCUUGCCUAGCAUGCAUGAAGCCCGGGUUCAAUUCCUCAGUACCA
rfam:Dipodomys ordii contig_34450, whole genome shotgun sequence.